AGCGUACAUGGUGGAUGCCUUGGCAGUCAGAGGCGAUGAAGGACGUACUAACCUGCGAUAAGCUGUGAGAAGUCGGUAAGAGACGCUAUUACUCACAGAUUUCCGAAUGGGGAAACCCACCCGAGAUAACUCGGGUAUCUGUUACUGAAUACAUAGGUAACAGAGGCGAACCGGGAGAACUGAAACAUCUAAGUACCCCGAGGAAAAGAAAUCAACCGAGAUUCCCUCAGUAGCGGCGAGCGAACGGGGAUUAGCCCUUAAGCAUCUUGGAAGUUAGUGGAACGGUCCUGGAAAGGCCGGCGAUACAGGGUGAUAGCCCCGUACACGAAAACAACCUUGAUGUGAAAUCGAGUAGGGCGGGACACGUGACAUCCUGUCUGAAUAUGGGGGGACCAUCCUCCAAGGCUAAAUACUCCUGACUGACCGAUAGUGAACCAGUACCGUGAGGGAAAGGCGAAAAGAACCCCUGUGAGGGGAGUGAAAUAGAACCUGAAACCGUGUACGUACAAGCAGUGGGAGCCCUUCGGGGUGACUGCGUACCUUUUGUAUAAUGGGUCAGCGACUUACAUUUUGUAGCGAGGUUAACCGUAUAGGGGAGCCGUAGGGAAACCGAGUCUUAACUGGGCGUCUAGUUGCAAGGUGUAGACCCGAAACCGGGUGAUCUAGCCAUGGGCAGGUUGAAGGUUGAGUAACAUCAACUGGAGGACCGAACCCACUAACGUUGCAAAGUUAGGGGAUGACCUGUGGCUGGGGGUGAAAGGCCAAUCAAACUCGGAGAUAGCUGGUUCUCCCCGAAAGCUAUUUAGGUAGCGCCUCGGACGAAUACUACUGGGGGUAGAGCACUGUUUGGGCUAGGGGGUCAUCCCGACUUACCAACCCCAUGCAAACUCCGAAUACCAGUAAGUAAUAUCCGGGAGACACACGGCGGGUGCUAACGUCCGUCGUGAAGAGGGAAACAACCCAGACCGCCGGCUAAGGUCCCAAAGUUCUGGUUAAGUGGGAAACGAUGUGGGAAGGCUCAGACAGCUAGGAUGUUGGCUUAGAAGCAGCCAUCAUUUAAAGAAAGCGUAAUAGCUCACUAGUCGAGUCGGCCUGCGCGGAAGAUGUAACGGGGCUCAAACCAGGCACCGAAGCCGCGGAUUCACACUUAUGUGUGAGUGGUAGGGGAGCGUUCUGUAAGUCUGCGAAGGUGUAUCGAGAGGUAUGCUGGAGAUAUCAGAAGUGCGAAUGCUGACGUAAGUAACGAUAAAGGGGGUGAAAAGCCUCCUCGCCGGAAGACCAAGGGUUCCUGUCCAACGUUAAUCGGGGCAGGGUGAGUCGACCCCUAAGGCGAGGCCGAAAGGCGUAGUCGAUGGGAAGCAGGUUAAUAUUCCUGCACGACUUGUAAUUGCGAUGGGGGGACGGAGAAGGCUAGGUGGGCCAGGCGACGGUUGUCCUGGUGAAAGUGCGUAGGUGGUGUUUCUAGGCAAAUCCGGAGACACAACACUGAGACACGAGACGAACACACUACGGUGUGGAAGCCAUUGAUGCCCUGCUUCCAGGAAAAGCCUCUAAGCUUCAGAUUACAAGUCAUCGUACCCCAAACCGACACAGGUGGUCGGGUAGAGAAUACCAAGGCGCUUGAGAGAACUCGGGUGAAGGAACUAGGCAAAAUAGAACCGUAACUUCGGGAGAAGGUUCGCUCUUGAUGGUGAAGUCCCUUGCGGAUGGAGCUGUCGGGAGUCGCAGUGACCAGAUGGCUGGGACUGUUUAUCAAAAACACAGCACUCUGCAAACACGAAAGUGGACGUAUAGGGUGUGACACCUGCCCGGUGCCGGAAGGUUAAUUGAUGGGGUUAGCGCAAGCGAAGCUCUUGAUCGAAGCCCCGGUAAACGGCGGCCGUAACUAUAACGGUCCUAAGGUAGCGAAAUUCCUUGUCGGGUAAGUUCCGACCUGCACGAAUGGUGUAACCAUGGCCAUGCUGUCUCCACCCGAGACUCAGUGAAAUCGAAUUCGCCGUGAAGAUGCGGUGUACCCGCGGCUAGACGGAAAGACCCCGUGAACCUUUACUACAGCUUGGCACUGAACAUUGAACCUACAUGUGUAGGAUAGGUGGGAGGCUUUGAAGGCGUGACGCCAGUUGCGCUGGAGCCGUCCUUGAAAUACCACCCUUGUAUGUUUGAUGUUCUAACGCAGGGCCCUGAAUCGGGCUCGCGGACAGUGCCUGGUGGGUAGUUUGACUGGGGCGGUCUCCUCCCAAAGAGUAACGGAGGAGCACGAAGGUUGGCUAAUCCUGGUCGGACAUCAGGAGGUUAGUGCAAUGGCAUAAGCCAGCUUAACUGCGAGACGGACAGGUCGAGCAGGUACGAAAGUAGGUCAUAGUGAUCCGGUGGUUCUGAAUGGAAGGGCCAUCGCUCAACGGAUAAAAGGUACUCCGGGGAUAACAGGCUGAUACCGCCCAAGAGUUCAUAUCGACGGCGGUGUUUGGCACCUCGAUGUCGGCUCAUCACAUCCUGGGGCUGAAGUCGGUCCCAAGGGUAUGGCUGUUCGCCAUUUAAAGUGGUACGCGAGCUGGGUUCAGAACGUCGUGAGACAGUUCGGUCCCUAUCUGCCGUGGGCGUUGGAUGAUUGAAGGGAGUUGCUCCUAGUACGAGAGGACCGGAGUGAACGAACCUCUGGUGUUCGGGUUGUCACGCCAGUGGCACUGCCCGGUAGCUAAGUUCGGAAUCGAUAACCGCUGAAAGCAUCUAAGCGGGAAGCGAGCCCUGAGAUGAGUCAUCCCUGACCCCUUGA
rnacentral:rRNA from 1 species